GCUCAGUUAAUUCUUUCCUGGCCUCUGCCCUGAAUGCCUCCACGCAUUAAGCUGUGCCUUAUCAGUGCGGGACGACUGCAUGAGCUCGGAAAACAUGUCAUCGGCCAGAUUCAGAUACCAAUAAUCAUGUCAAACAGUACCUUGCUCCACAAAUACUCCCAUUGACUCCAGAGUAAACUGUUACCCAACAGCAUUAAAGAGAGUGUGUGUGCGUGCACGUGUACAUUGCAGGGAAAGCCAUCGAGACAGAGAGGAGGAGGAUUCAGAGGUGCGGGGAACUCACCAUCAAACUAAACAAUCUGGGAAAACUCUGCCAGGGGGAUCUGCAGUUUCCUCCCUCCCCAACCAAGCCUCCACUAGUGGAUUCUUCCAUGGGCUAAGCACAACACACAAAGCAAUAUUCAAAAGACAAAUGUUUAUUAGAUACACUGAACUUAAUUUUUUUAAAAAAGAAUUAUGCAAG